UCACCAGGUUUCUCAGGGCAGCUCUUGGCCAGGGCUUCACGGAGGCUCAGAACCGUAGCGUAGAUGAGAUUUCUCUGGGAAAUUACCUCGCCCAUGUGGGCAGCCACCGGCCACACCAUCACCAGCCAACAACCUCUCUAGCACCUUGGUCCACCAGCCUGGAGAAGCCCACUGUCCAGAAUAGACCGAACCAGCCACAGCGUCAGACAGCAGAGGCUCCAUAGCUGCCACGGCUCCUCGCGUACGGAGAGGCUGGGGCCAAGUCAGAGGAGAGCAGGAGGGGUGCGCUUUCGUUGGCCCUUCAUUGCAGCUCUGCAAGGAACUUGACACGUGCCUCCUGCUUGCAGGUCCUGAGGCCUGGAGCCACGGGCCAGCUGCGCACAUGUGGUGGGAUUCCAGCCAGACCUGCUCAGGGAAGGGCGAGGCCAUUCCCACGCCCAGAGCACCUGCAGAGCCUCUGCCGUCCUCUGCCGACAGCUGAGGCCCCUCACGUUCACACGGUUCGACUGCGUGAUGUUAACAGGCUGUUCCCUCUGAAAAGGACACGUGUGGAUAAACCAUUUAUGGACACCACGGUUCUGAUGAGCCGAGCAGAGGUUUCACCCCUGCGGUGGGCGCCAUUCCACCGACAUGCGUCCUGUAACAAAUGACAUAAAAUACAGCUGUUUUAAGGGCAGAGUCGUUGCUUAAAAUUGGAGGCCAAUUAAAA
rnacentral:lncRNA from 1 species